AGUGAACGCUGGCGGUAGGCCUAACACAUGCAAGUCGAACGGCAGCACAGUAAGAGCUUGCUCUUACGGGUGGCGAGUGGCGGACGGGUGAGGAAUACAUCGGAAUCUACUUUUUCGUGGGGGAUAACGUAGGGAAACUUACGCUAAUACCGCAUACGACCUACGGGUGAAAGCAGGGGAUCUUCGGACCUUGCGCGAUUGAAUGAGCCGAUGUCGGAUUAGCUAGUUGGCGGGGUAAAGGCCCACCAAGGCGACGAUCCGUAGCUGGUCUGAGAGGAUGGUCAGCCACACGGGAACUGAGACACGGUCCAGACUCCUACGGGAGGCAGCAGUGGGGAAUAUUGGACAAUGGGCGCAAGCCUGAUCCAGCCAUACCGCGUGGGGGAAGAAGGCCUUCGGGUUGUAAAGCCCUGUUGUUGGGAAAGAAAAGCAGCAGGUUAAUACCCCGCUGUUCUGACGGUACCUAAAGAAUAAGCACCGGCUAACUUCGUG
rnacentral:rRNA from 1 species